UGAGGAAUAUUGGUCAAUGGACGCAAGUCUGAACCAGCCAAGUAGCGUGCAGGAUGACGGCCCUAUGGGUUGUAAACUGCUUUUAUGUGGGAAUAAAGUCAGGGACGUGUCCCUGUUUGCAUGUACCACAGGAAUAAGGACCGGCUAAUUCCGUGCCAGCAGCCGCGGUAAUACGGAAGGUCCGGGCGUUAUCCGGAUUUAUUGGGUUUAAAGGGUGCGUAGGUUGCCGAUUAAGUCAGCGGUGAAAGUCAGUGGCUCAACCAUUGAACUGCCGUUGAAACUGGUUGGCUUGAGUACGUACGGGGCAGGCGGAAUGCGUGGUGUAGCGGUGAAAUGCAUAGAUAUCACGCAGAACCCCGAUCGCGAAGGCAGCCUGCCAGGCCGUGACUGACACUGAUGCACGAAAGCGUGGGUAUCGAACAGGAUUAGAUACCCUGGUAGU
rnacentral:rRNA from 1 species